UGCCGAUGUAGGAUUGACAGCACCGAUAGGAUAGCCGUUAUUAUAAGGGGAACUAUAAUGUGCAUUAUAACCACCCUGAGGUAUUGGAACAGUGCCUGGAUAACCAGAUGGCAUACCAGGCAUUGCUGCGGGAAUUCCAGCAUUGGGCAAAGACGCAGUAUUGUAAGAGGGCAGGGGGUUAUAAGAAGGGACUGGCUGCGAUGAUUGUCCCACGUAUGAAUAACCAAAAUUGUUGUUGAUUGCAGCGGGAGCAUCUCUGGAAUAAGCAUUGGACAUUGGAGUCGACGCAUACGAAGAAGUUUGCGAAUAAUCAGUAUUCAUAAAUUGAGUGUUCUCAGAAGUAUUAUACAUUCCACCACCCAUGGAAUUAUUCACCCCGUACAUAGCGGAAGACUGUUGGACAGGGGGCGUACCAUAGCUUUGAGGAUUUCCGUAUGAAGAAGGCAAACCUGUUUGCGAAGAACCAUAAACUUCCGAUUGAGGAUUUUCGUCGGAAAACUUUCGUUUCCCGUUGUCCGAUAAGUAAUUUGAAUUGUAAGGAAGCAUCUAAUUUAAAAUCACAUUAAGUCUUCUGUAUUUAUAUAUCAAAUAUCAGAAGUAGCACGUUUGGUUCGUGUUUGGGGCGUGCCUGACUCUUACGGGAGUACGCAGAAAAAAAAUAAUGGACUCUUUAAAUCUGGAUAUGUCUUAAGUUAAUUAAAAAAAUUUACUGGAUUUUAACGGUAAUUAUCGCAAUGCCGUAUAUACUUUAACCUGUCAGGAAUAGUACACUACGCUAUGCUACACUACGUUGCGUAUCACUAUAUGUCAUAUGUUGGAAUACUAGCUAAGAUCCGUUUAUUGAUAAUCACGGGUAACUAUCCGUCUAUAUACAUAGAUACCCGUUGAUAACAACUAUUUAGAAAUAUUAUAAAUAGCGUUACAACUGAACCUCGUUCCUCAGUUCAGUUAUGAGCUAUAUUAGUGAUAGGUAACAUUAUAACCCAGUUAAUACAAUACCUAUACUCAGUUGCUACUUAUACAACCUGUGUAUUGUAAUAUAAUAGACCACAAGG